UACGGGGGGGGUAAGCGUUGUUCGGAAUUACUGGGCGUAAAGCGUGCGCAGGCGGUGAUGUAAGACAGGUGUGAAAUCCCCGGGCUUAACCUGGGAACUGCAUUUGUGACUGCGUCGCUGGAGUGCGGCAGAGGGGGAUGGAAUUCCGCGUGUAGCAGUGAAAUGCGUAGAUAUGCGGAGGAACACCGAUGGCGAAGGCAAUCCCCUGGGCCUGCACUGACGCUCAUGCACGAAAGCGUGGGGAGCAAACAGG
rnacentral:rRNA from 1 species